rnacentral:rRNA from 1 species
AUUGAACGCUGGCGGCAUGCCUUACGCAUGCAAGUCGAACGGUAACGCGGGGCAACCUGGCGACGAGUGGCGAACGAGUGAGUAGUGUAUCGGAACGUGCCCAGUUGUGGGGGAUAACUGCUCGAAAGAGCAGCUAAUACCGCAUACGACCUGAGGGUGAAAGCGGGGGAUCGCAAGACCUCGCGCAAUUGGAGCGGCCGAUAUCAGAUUAGGUAGUUGGUGGGGUAAAGGCUCACCAAGCCAACGAUCUGUAGCUGGUCUGAGAGGACGACCAGCCGCACUGGGACUGAGACACGGCCCAGACUCCUACGGGAGGCAGCAGUGGGGAAUUUUGGACAAGGGACGCAAGUCUGAGCCAGCCAUGCCGCGUGCGGGAAGAAGGCCUUCGGGUUGUAAACCGCUUUUGUCAGGGAAGAAACGCUCUGGGUUAAUACCUCGGGGUAAUGACGGUACCUGAAGAAUAAGCACCGGCUAACUACGUGCCAGCAGCCGCCGUAACAC